GACGAACGCUGGCGGCGUGCUUAACACAUGCAAGUCGAACGGAAAGGCCCUGCUUUUGUGGUGUGCUCGAGUGGCGAACGGGUGAGUAACACGUGAGUAACCUGCCCUUGACUUUGGGAUAACUUCAGGAAACUGGGGCUAAUACCGUAUAGGAUCUCCUGCUGCAUGGUGGGGGUGGGAAAGUUUCGGCGGGUGGGGAUGGACGCGCGGAUUAUCAGCUUGUUGGUGGGGUAGUGGCUUACCAAGGCUGUGGCGGAUAGCCGGCCUGAGAGGGUGAACGGCGACAUUGGGACUGAGGUACGGCCCAGACUCCUACGGGAGGCAGCAGUGGGGAAUAUUGCACAAUGGGAGGGAGUCUGAUGCAGAGACGCCGCGUGCGGGAUGACGGCCUUCGGGUUGUAAACCGCUUUAGCCUGUGACGAAGCGUGAGUGACGGUAAUGGGUAAAGAAGCACCGGCUAACUACGUG
rnacentral:rRNA from 1 species